UUUCUUUCUUUCUUUCUUUUU
rnacentral:sRNA from 1 species